CAGAGCCUCAAAGAGCACCCAGCAUAACUGUGGGAGAAUAGUAAGCAUUGGACACAAAAUGGUUUAGGCAAAUAAUGAUGAACAAAAAUGGUCAGUCUGUGUUCCUGCUGACCCAGCACAGUGGGGACGCUGUGUAGGACAUGACCUUUGGGGGAAAGGACACAAGAACUCAGCGUGGGGGAUCCAGAAAAGAAGUCGCACGUAUUGAAGCCAGUAACGCCAAGCCAGUGAAUUCUCCUUGACGAGAAAGACCCACUUACUCUGCAGAAGAGAUAUAUGACAGCUGACAAUCCCUGGAGGAGAAUCUUUCUACUAAAUUGGUAAGGGAUGCUAAGCAAAUGAUGUGGACUCAGGAAACAACGCAUUUCAUGAUAUACGGUUGCCUCUCAAGGUGAAUUCGAGACCCCUCUUGAAUUACAAAGAGUUGAAAACAUUCAAGUACGGAAUAAACUAUUACUGCGAAUACGCUCAUAUGACACAAGAACAAUCUCUGAGCUUCUUUGAGGAUGUCCAGAUGACUGCUGACUGCACUAAUUGCAUCAAUCGUGUAUCCAUACAGGUUCUUUCUAUAAAAUAGUGGUCGCUAGUUAUGAGGCGUUAAGCCUUCAUGGAUAUAAACAGACUAUUCCACCUAAGUGAUCUGGCAGAAGCUUAGUUUUCUACCACAACAUCCACCGUCCUCCCUCCCUCCCUUCCUAGCUGGUCAGAAAAGCUACUCAGAAUAAAGACUACAUUUCCCAGCCAUCUUUGCAGCUAGGUUUAUCCACCUGACUAAAUUCCACCGUAACUCCAGGUUGAAGAACUUCUACUUAUAGGCAUCUAUUCAACGAAGACGAAUCCUGGAAUGGGGAUGGAAAUGAUGGCUCAUGUCUUAGCAAACUACCAGUACGUCUACUAGAACCGGAACUGAUCCGAGAGGACAGGGAAGUCAGUGUGGGCGGCUCUAAGGAGCCUCCCUCUCUACAGCUGCGGCUCAGAGGAUUACGGCGCUUCAUCCACAAGGCAACAUUGCACAAGUAGCUUUUGAACAAAAGUCAUGGAUACUAUUAAUGAUAUGUUCCCACACACAUUUAGUGUCGUCUCAAAAUUCACGCUGUCAACUGUCUCUAGGAAUCAUUUCCAUCUGAGAACAGACCACACAAAGACACAGUGAAACUCAGUUUCUGCAGAAUUUGAUUUCAUUUGAGUUACUGGGGAACAAAGCAAUUAGACAAUGAAUAAUAGCUCAAGACAGGCUGAAGCUGAAGAUUUCUGCAAAAGAAUGAAGAGGAAACGUUUUGAUCCUGAGCAGAUGUUCUCCCUAGAUUGCUUCACCUGAGGUUGAUUGACUUUUGGAAACGAGAUUUGUUCCCAGUGCUUUGUGAGUCUCUUGUUGGAAGGACUGUCUUUAAAUUAAAGCAAUUAGAGUUACUUUAUAAGAUUUACCCAAAUAUAAGAGCUGAAGAGAAUAAUUCAAAUUGAUCAGAAGAAAAUACUCAAUUACUGACAAAUGUCAAUUACAUCAAUAGCCUAGGCUGCUCUUGAACUCCUGGGCUCAAACGAUCCUCC
rnacentral:lncRNA from 1 species